rnacentral:rRNA from 1 species
AUUGAACGCUGGCGGCAGGCCUAACACAUGCAAGUCGAGCGAGCGUCGGACGGGUGAGUAAUGUAUGGGGACUGCCCGAUAGAGGGGGAUAACUACUGGAACCGGUAGCUAAUACCGCAUACUAUCGGAUAACCCAUAUGGGAUUAGCUAGUAGGUGAGGUAAUGGCUCACCUAGGCGACGAUCCCUAGCUGGUCUGAGAGGAUGAUCAGCCACACUGGGACUGGGACACGGCCCAGACUCCUACGGAGGCAGCAGUGGGGAAUAUGGCACAAUGGGCGCAAGCCUGAUGCAGCCAUGCCGCGUGUAUGAAGAAGGCCUUCGGGUUGUAAAGUACUUUUGGCAGAGAAGCGGUAUCUGCAGAAUAAGCACCGGCUAACUACGUGCCAGCCGCCGCGGUAAUUC